rnacentral:rRNA from 1 species
AGAGUUUGAUCCUGGCUCAGGAUGAACGCUGGCGGCGUGCUUAACACAUGCAAGUCGAACGAAGAUGCCGGAGUGCUUGCACUUUGGUAGACUGAGUGGCGGACGGGUGAGUAACGCGUGGGUAACCUGCCUUAUACAGGGGGAUAACAGUUGGAAACGACUGCUAAUACCGCACAAGCGCACGGUAUCGCAUGAUACAGUGUGAAAAACUCCGGUGGUAUAAGAUGGACCCGCGUCUGAUUAGCUUGUUGGUGAGGUAACGGCCCACCAAGGCGACGAUCAGUAGCCGGUCUGAGAGGUUGAACGGCCACAUUGGGACUGAGACACGGCCCAGACUCCUACGGGAGGCAGCAGUGGGGAAUAUUGCACAAUGGGGGAAACCCUGAUGCAGCGACGCCGCGUGGAGGAAGAAGGUCUUCGGAUUGUAAACUCCUGUUGUUGAGGAAGAUAAUGACGGUACUCAACAAGGAAGUGAUGGCUAACUACGUGCCAGCAGCCGCGGUAAAACGUAGGUCACAAGCGUUGUCCGGAAUUACUGGGUGUAAAGGGAGCGCAGGCGGGCGAUCAAGUUGGAAGUGAAAUCCAUGGGCUCAACCCAUGAACUGCUUUCAAAACUGGUCGUCUUGAGUAGUGCAGAGGUAGGCGGAAUUCCCGGUGUAGCGGUGGAAUGCGUAGAUAUCGGGAGGAACACCAGUGGCGAAGGCGGCCUACUGGGCACCAACUGACGCUGAGGCUCGAAAGUGUGGGUAGCAAACAGGAUUAGAUACCCUGGUAGUCCACACCGUAAACGAUGAUUACUAGGUGUUGGGAGAUUGACCCUCUCAGUGCCGCAGUUAACACAAUAAGUAAUCCACCUGGGGAGUACGACCGCAAGGUUGAAACUCAAAGGAAUUGACGGGGGCCCGCACAAGCAGUGGAGUAUGUGGUUUAAUUCGACGCAACGCGAAGAACCUUACCAAGUCUUGACAUCCCUUGACGAUGCUGGAAACAGUAUUUCUCUUCGGAGCAAGGAGACAGGUGGUGCAUGGUUGUCGUCAGCUCGUGUCGCGAGAUGUUGGGUUAAGUCCCGCAACGAGCGCAACCCUUAUGGUCAGUUACUACGCAAGAGGACUCUGGCCAGACUGCCGUUGACAAAACGGAGGAAGGUGGGGAUGACGUCAAAUCAUCAUGCCCUUUAUGACUUGGGCUACACACGUACUACAAUGGCGUUAAACAAAGAGAAGCAAGACCGCGAGGUGGAGCAAAACUCAGAAACAACGUCCCAGUUCGGACUGCAGGCUGCAACUCGCCUGCACGAAGUCGGAAUUGCUAGUAAUGGUGGAUCAGCAUGCCACGGUGAAUACGUUCCCGGGCCUUGUACACACCGCCCGUCACACCAUGAGAGCCGGGGGGACCCGAAGUCGGUAGUCUAACCGCAAGGAGGACGCCGCCGAAGGUAAAACUGGUGAUUGGGGUGAAGUCGUAACAAGGU